GUAUCCCAAGAUCAAAUUUAAUGUAGAGGUCAAUGAUGCAAUUGGAUUCAUCCCUGCAACAAUAUUCGCAGAAAAAGCAGAAGAGCUCAACAUCACUGCAGCCGAAAUGAUCAACAAUACAAUCGAUGGUAAUCUAUCAGUUGAGAUGCUCCACAAGUUGUCGGCUCCCAAAAACGCUUCUAUCAUGCUAAGGGCAUCCAUGUACACCUAUGGAGCAAUUACCCAAUGUGUCUUCAGUGUGUACUCUAUCUUCAACUCAACUUCUGAUCAGCACGCAGUCGGGGAAGUAUCAAGCCAGGCUCUAGGACCAAACACCCCCCCAAAAGCGUGCAACAAAAUCACCUUGCACAGCAGAAUCACCAACAAACAAGGACACCAUGGAAGAAGAUGGAGCUGUUGAGCCUCUCAAGAACAAGCAGAAAAAGGAAUAGCUCAAUCAAUGAACCCUUUUGUUUUAUCUCUUAAAAUAGUAGACGUUGCAGCAAAUCUUUUGGACCGCCUAGUUUGCAGCCAUCUCUACUAUUUCUAGCUAUUAGGCUUUCCUAAAACUACAGGCAAAUCUUUUGGUUCAUGCCAUUUCCCUUCGGCCUCUACCAAAGUCUCUUUGAUGUAAUCAACUUAUGCCACUUUAACGUAUUGUAAAUAUAUCAGCACUGUUUGCAAAACUAAUUCCCCUCUGAUUGUGCCAAUACAAUGAAGAAGCCCACAACAUCCCCUCCCAAUACUAGGCAUGAGACAUCUCGUGCUGGCACAUGCCGUUUACCUAGUACAAACACUAUAGUAGGAGUUUGAGUUCCAUAUGUAAUCGUGGGAUGCAGGCUUUGAGCUGUUGUACUUCAAGAGCAAGAAUUGAUUCUGAUUUGAACAAUCACAGUUGAAGGAUAUAACUUUAAAUCUCUCGGAAUGUACUAUAGACUAUUA